GCCGAAGUGGCGGAACUGGCAGACGCGUGCGACUCAAACUCGCAAGCCCGUAAGGGUGUGAGGGUUCGAUUCCCUCCUUCGGCA
rnacentral:tRNA from 1 species